CAAUACAGCCAUAACUUUUUUUUUUUUUUUUUAAUGCUUGUACAGGUGUCUAGCAUAUCUCUGUAAGUCAAUGUUGGCAGGAGAAUACUAUAAUUUAAACCCUUCUUCACAUAUAUUGAUACAUUCCUCCCUUUCAUAACCAUUGCAGGAGAUCCAAUAAUAUGCCUACCUUUCACAGCCCUCUCUCAUAUCUUUCCAUCUGUCUCACGAAGCAUUGUUCCUAGAUACUAAACUCAUUCACCCCCUACAUUCUCUCUCCUCCCAUAGUCAUCUCACAUUUUAUGUACAUUUGGCAUACUUAUCCUGUAAGGUAUCCUUAAAUCAAACAUUUCCACUUCUUUCAAAGUCCAUCACCAUAAUUUUCCCAGCAUUCAACUUUAUUCUCACAAGCUAUUAAACUGAUUCAUUAAUUUUGAAGUUUCCUUUCACUCUGUAAACAAGUAUGCUAUAACCAGUCCAAUACAAAUCUGUUUCUGCUUCCUACCAUUUCCUACAUAAGCUUUCAUCUCCCUCAUACAGCAAUCUGUAAUAAUACUAAACAGCCAUGGAGACAUUAUACAUCCCUGUGUGCAACACAGUCCGCCUGCAAAGAAAAAAUAAAUAACUAAAUAAAAAUGAAAAUAAAUAAAUAAAUAAAAUAAAAAGUUAAAGUUGUCAUACGUAUAAAACGUUGGUUUAUUUCUGUGAACUAUUGUAUACAUCAGUCUUUAUAGUCCGCGUUACUUCAUUACUUUACUUAUAUAAUAAAGCUGAUUUGUAUUACUUGCUUUAACCUCAAGUUGAGAUUUAUGGAUAGGUUAGUACCAAUAUGGCCACAACGAGCCACGCGGACUUCAAUCCUACCUGGGCAGUGAGGACUGACUGCCCACAAUCUUUAUUAAAUCUCGUUGCAUGCGGUUUUGUUCGCAAAAAAAAAAAAAAAAAAAAAAAUGGCGUCAUGGAGGAUAAUUUGGGAACCACUGUCCUUAUGUACGCUGGCUGCAUCUUUGAGGUAGGAGUCCCAUUGCCAAUAUUUAUGGAUCAAUAUAUGUAAAGAAGUUUUGAAUUAACUAAAUUAUAUUGUUUCCAAGAAAUUGUUGAAAAAAAAUUUUACUCUCAUCAUGUAAGUCUUUUGAAUCGUAUACGCAUAUGUAUAUGCAGUUGUAGUAUUACAUUUGAUAUGUGGGCUUGUAUUGGUAAUACUGGAGGUGAUGGGGCGUGGUGUAUGCCCAGCCAGCCAGCCAGCGUGCGUCGUGCAGACAGCUGGUUGAGGAGUACGACAAACGUGGCCAACAAUGGAGACGAGCUGUGUUCUGGGAGCUUUUUUCAAGAUUUUUGUGGUAGAUUGGAAAACUUUAUUUGACUUAAAGUUCGAGUGUGCACUGUCCCAAGGAACGAUCACCAUGACAAGGGAUAGCUGUAACGGAUGACACUUUUCCUGCCGGGUCCUUACACACUGGUUGGGCUCCCAAGAGAGGACUGGCUAGCACGUCAUGCCUAUCAAAAAGACACUAAAGUAUGAACAUGCACAUGAUAUUGGCUGGAAUGUAUGCUAUAAACCUUAGAUAAACAAUACAAUUGUAUUUGAUGUAUAAAAUAAAUCGGUAAAAUUGCAAUUAACACAAAA